rnacentral:rRNA from 1 species
GACGAAGGAUGCAAGCGUUAUCCGGAUUCAUUGGGUUUAAAGGGAGCGUAGGUGGCCUUAUAAGUCAGUGGUGAAAUCCUGUUGCUUAACAACAGAACUGCCUUUGAUACUGAGGGUCUUGAGUUCGGGAGAGGUGAGUGGAACUGCGAGUGUAGAGGUGAAAUUCGUAGAUAUUCGGAAGAACACCAGUGGCGAAGGCGACUCACUGGACAUGUAUUGACGCUGAGGUGCGAAAGCGUGGGGAGCAAACAGGG